UUGGCUGCAGAGUCCCUGCCCUCACCACUGCUGAGGUUGAACCUGAGUCUUGUCCUGAAUGUUUCCUGGCAUCCCAGCCCCAGCCUCAUCUCCUCCUCCUCAUGUCACUCCCCAUUAGGCAGCAGCAUAUCCCCUCAGUAUCCCAACUGCCUCCCAGAAUGUUGCCCCACUCCAAGGCGCUUGUUGUUUUUGAGACAGGGUCUCGCUCUGUCACCCAGGCUGGAGUGCACUCGCGCAAUCUUGGCUACUGCAACCUCCGCCUCCCGGGUUCAAGUGGCAUUAGGAUGGCUAUUAUUAAGAAACAAAACAAAACAGAAAAUAGCAAGUGUUGACAAGGAUAUGGAGAAAUUGAAACCCUUGUACAUUGCUUCUGGGAAUGUAAAAGGUGCAGCCACUGUGGACUCCAUAGACGGGAGAACUCAGUGAGUUCCUGACAACUUAGGCUUGAGAUAGAAAUAAGGGGACUUAGUGACCGGGCGCGGUGGCUCAAGCCUGUAAUCCUAGCACUUUAGGAGAGAAGAGAGGAGAGAGAGAAAAAGAAAAUAAGGCUGGGUGCGGUGGCUCACACCUGUAAUCCCAGUACUUUGGGGGUGGAUCACGAGGUCAAGAGAUUGAGACCAUCCUGGCCAACCAACAUGGUGAAACCCUGUCUCUACUAAAAAUCCAAAAAUUAGCUGGGCGUAGUGGCACACGCCUGUAGUCCCAGCUACUUGGGAGGCUGAGGCAGAAUAAUCGCUUGAACCCAGGAGGCGGAGGUUGCAGUGAGCCGAGAUCGCGCCACUGCACUCCAGCCCGGGUGACAGAGUGAGACUCUGUUUCAAAAACAAAAACAAAAACAAAAAAGGAAAGAAAGAAAGGGAAGGGAGGGUGGGAAGGGAGAGAAGGAAGGGAAGGAAGGGGAGAGAGAGAGAGCGAGAGAGAAAGGGAGACAGUAAGGAAAGGAGGGAGGAAGGAGGGAGGGAGGAAGGAGGGAAGGAGGGAGGGAGGAAGGAGGGAAGGAGGAAGGAAGGAAAAAAAAAAAGAAAGAAACACAGAGCUGGGCGUGGUGGCUCAGGCUUGUAAUCCCAGCACUUUGGAAGGUGGAGGUGGGCGAUUGCUUGAGCCCAGAACUUUGAGACCAGCCUAGGCAACAAAGUGAGACCCUUUCUCUAUUUCUAAAAACUUUUAAAACAUUAAAAUGAAUAAAAUAAAAUAAAAACAGACUUCCCAAGGAAUUAAAGUGCUGACCUGGCCUGGGAAGUGCUGGACUCAGGAAUGGAAGGACACAGUUCUCAGAUGCCCCCCGGGUGGAACCAGGCACUGGCACUACAGGUUGCCCUGGUGUGGUCAUCUCUGUGGCCUCUGCCUCCAGUCAUGCCCCUUCAAUAGCAAGGAAAACAGCUCCGUAGAUGCAGGACAAUGGGCAGCAUUCAUUCACUCAACAAAGGCUUACAGAGCCUCUCAUUGUGCCAGGCGCUGAGCUGGGUGAACAACAGCAGGAAACCAACCAGCAACCACAGGCAGUGUUGUGGAUGAGAGUGUGGGGCUUACCGGCUGGGUGGCCUGGGGCAGGUGAUUUCUCUGCUCACUGGCCUGUUUCCACAUCUGUACACUGGGGCUUAGAACAGAACCUACCUCCUAGGAUGGUUGUGAGCAUUAAAUGAGUUAGUACAUGGGUAGGGCCUGUGAUCAUCCCUGGAACAUAGUAAGUGCUCAUUGAGUUAGCCAGUAUUCACAUACAGCAGGUCCUUGAAUAACGUCAUUUCAUUCCAUGUCUUUUUGUCAUGACAUUGGUAAGAGAAAAAUUCGAUUCCUGCAGGGGCCACUGUCUGCGUGGUGUUUGCAUUCUCCCCACGUCUGCGUGGGUUUUCUCCCAUGUCCCAAAGCUGUGCACGCUAGGC
rnacentral:lncRNA from 1 species